AACGAACGCUGGCGGCAUGCCUAACACAUGCAAGUCGAACGAGAUCCUUCGGGGUCUAGUGGCGCACGGGUGCGUAACGCGUGGGAAUCUGCCCUUAGGUUCGGAAUAACAGUUAGAAAUGACUGCUAAUACCGGAUGAUGACGUUAAGUCCAAAGAUUUAUCGCCUGAGGAUGAGCCCGCGUAGGAUUAGCUAGUUGGUGUGGUAAAGGCGCACCAAGGCGACGAUCCUUAGCUGGUCUGAGAGGAUGAUCAGCCACACUGGGACUGAGACACGGCCCAGACUCCUACGGGAGGCAGCAGUGGGGAAUAUUGGACAAUGGGCGCAAGCCUGAUCCAGCAAUGCCGCGUGAGUGAUGAAGGCCUUAGGGUUGUAAAGCUCUUUUACCCGAGAUGAUAAUGACAGUAGCGGGAGAAUAAGCCCCGGCUAACUCCGUG
rnacentral:rRNA from 1 species